UGCAGUCGACGGUGAACACGGAGCUUGCUCUGUGGGAUCAGUGGCGAACGGGUGAGUAACACGUGAGCAACCUGCCCCUGACUCUGGGAUAAGCGCUGGAAACGGCGUCUAAUACUGGAUAUGUGACGUGACCGCAUGGUCUGCGUUUGGAAAGAUUUUUCGGUUGGGGAUGGGCUCGCGGCCUAUCAGCUUGUUGGUGAGGUAAUGGCUCACCAAGGCGUCGACGGGUAGCCGGCCUGAGAGGGUGACCGGCCACACUGGGACUGAGACACGGCCCAGACUCCUACGGGAGGCAGCAGUGGGGAAUAUUGCACAAUGGGCGAAAGCCUGAUGCAGCAACGCCGCGUGAGGGAUGACGGCCUUCGGGUUGUAAACCUCUUUUAGCAGGGAAGAAGCGAAAGUGACGGUACCUGCAGAAAAAGCGCCGGCUAACUACGUGCCAGCAGCCGCGGUAAUACGUAGGGCGCAAGCGUUAUCCGGAAUUAUUGGGCGUAAAGAGCUCGUAGGCGGUUUGUCGCGUCUGCUGUGAAAUCCCGAGGCUCAACCUCGGGCCUGCAGUGGGUACGGGCAGACUAGAGUGCGGUAGGGGAGAUUGGAAUUCCUGGUGUAGCGGUGGAAUGCGCAGAUAUCAGGAGGAACACCGAUGGCGAAGGCAGAUCUCUGGGCCGUAACUGACGCUGAGGAGCGAAAGGGUGGGGAGCAAACAGGCUUAGAUACCCUGGUAGUCCACCCCGUAAACGUUGGGAACUAGUUGUGGGGUCCAUUCCACGGAUUCCGUGACGCAGCUAACGCAUUAAGUUCCCCGCCUGGGGAGUACGGCCGCAAGGCUAAAACUCCAAGGAAUUGACGGGGACCCCCACAAGCGGCGGAGCAUGCCGGAUUAUUUCGAUGCAACGCGGAGAACCUUUACCAAGGGCUUGACAUAUAAC
rnacentral:rRNA from 1 species